rnacentral:rRNA from 1 species
GGCUUAGUUUGAUCAUGGCUCAGGAUAAACGCUGGCGGCGCACAUAAGACAUGCAAGUCGAACGGACUUAACCAUUAGUUUACUAUUGGAGCGGUUAGUGGCGGACUGGUGAGUAACACGUAAGCAACCUGCCUGUUAGAGGGGAACAACAGUUAGAAAUGACUGCUAAUACCGCAUAUGCCUUGAGUAUCGCAUGGUACAAGAGGGAAAGGAGCAAUCCGCUAACAGAUGGGCUUGCGUCUGAUUAGCUAGUUGGUGGGGUAACGGCCUACCAAGGCGACGAUCAGUAGCCGGACUGAGAGGUUGAACGGCCACGUUGGGACUGAGAUACGGCCCAGACUCCUACGGGAGGCAGCAGUCGGGAAUAUUGCGCAAUGGAGGAAACUCUGACGCAGUGACGCCGCGUGCAGGAAGAAGGUUUUCGGAUUGUAAACUGCUUUAGACAGGGAAGAAAGAAAAGACAGUACCUGUAGAAUAAGCUCCGGCUAACUACGUGCCAGCAGCCGCGGUAAUACGUAGGGAGCAAGCGUUAUCCGGAUUUAUUGGGUGUAAAGGGUGCGUAGACGGGAAGUCAAGUUAGUUGUGAAAUCCCUCGGCUCAACUGAGGAACUGCAACUAAAACUAACUUUCUUGAGUGCUGGAGAGGAAAGUGGAAUUCCUAGUGUAGCGGUGAAAUGCGUAGAUAUUAGGAGGAACACCAGUGGCGAAGGCGACUUUCUGGACAGUAACUGACGUUGAGGCACGAAAGUGUGGGGAGCAAACAGGAUUAGAUACCCUGGUAGUCCACACCGUAAACGAUGGAUACUAGGUGUAGGGGAUGAAUAAUCCUCUGUGCCGUCGCNAACGCAGUAAGUAUCCCACCUGGGGAGUACGGCCGC